ACGGGAGGCAGCAGUGGGGAAUAUUGGGCGAUGGGCGAAAGCCUGACCCAGAGACGCCGCGUGAGGGAAGAAGGUCUUCGGAUUGUAAACCUCUUUCAGCAGGGAAAAAGCAAGUGACGGUACCUGCAGAAGAAGUCACGGCUAACUACGUGCCAGAAGCCGCGGUAAUACGUAGGUGGCGAGCGGUAUCCGGAAUUACUGGGUGUAAAGGGUGGGUAGGCGGAGAAGCAAGACAGGCGUGAAAUUUCCGGGCUCAACCCGGAAACUGCGCUUGAAACUGUAUCCCUUGAGAGUGGGAGAGGUAAACGGAAUUCCUGGUGUAGUAGUGAAAUGCGUAGAUAUCAGGAGGAACACCGGCGGCGAAGGCGGUUUACUGGACCACAACUGACGCUGAGACACGAAAGCGUGGGGAGCAAACAGGAUUAGAUACCCUGGUA
rnacentral:rRNA from 1 species